rnacentral:rRNA from 1 species
AUACGUAGGGGGCAAGCGUUGUCCGGAAUUAUUGGGCGUAAAGCGCGCGCAGGCGGUUCAUUAAGUCUGGGGUAUAAGUGCGGGGCUCAACCCCGUGAGGCCCUGGAAACUGGGGAACUGGAGUGUAGGAGAGGAAAGUGGAAUUCCACGUGUAGCGGUGAAAUGCGUAGAGAUGUGGAGGAACACCAGUGGCGAAGGCGACUUUCUGGCCUAUAACUGACGCUGAGGCGCGAAAGCGUGGGGAGCAAACAGGAUUAGAUACCCUGGUAGUCCACGCCGUAAACGAUGCAUGCUAGGUGUUGGGGGUUUCAAUACCCUCGGUGCAGAAGUUAACACAUUAAGCAUGCCGCCUGGGGAGUACGCUCGCAAGAGUGAA